rnacentral:rRNA from 1 species
AAUGAACGCUGGCGGCAUGCCUAACACAUGCAAGUCGAACGAGACCUCCGGGUCCAGUCGCGCACGGGUUUGUAACCGGUGGGAACCUGCACCUAGGUUUGGCCUAACUCUCCGAAAGGGGUGCCAACAGCGGAUAAUAUCUUCGGACCAAAGAUUUAUUGCCCUUGGGUGGUCCCGCGUUGGAUUAGCUUGUUGGUAGGGUAAAAGGCUACCAAGGCGAGGAUUCAUAGCUGGUUUGUGAGAAGGGUCACCGACACUGGGAUUGGGAGGCGGCCGGGAAUCCUACGGGAGGGGGCAGUGGCGGAUAUAGGAAAGUGGGGGGAGGGAUGAACGACCAAUGCCGGGUGAGUGAUGAAGGCCGUAAGGUAGUAAAGCGCUUUUACCCGGGAUGAUAAUGACGGUACCGGGAGAAUAAGCACCGGCUAACUCCGUG